GUUAAAAUAUUAAGGGUUGUGUGAGCCAAGGCCCUUGUUAUGUAGAUGAAGGCUUACAGGUGUUUCAAAAUUGUUCCUUGAGAAAGACAGACAUUCCUAAUUAGAAGAAUCGGCUCUAAGUGACUUAGUUAUUUUUGUCCUCCAAGAAGCAUCUUUAUUUGAAUUUCCAGUUGAAUUUUUUCUACAUGUGUCAGCCUGUUUAAACAUAGUUAACAUCUCUUCUACACAUUGGUGGUCUUAGCAAAGGAUGCCAUGUGCAGAUCAUUCCCUUUCAGCUUGGGAACUUCCAGUUAAAGCCAUCCAGAAAAUAUGGUAAAGAUUGGUCUCUUUGGUCUUCCUUCUUGAUGGCAGCCAUGUGGAGGAGAAGUAUGUGCAGAGGAGAAGCAGAGAAAUCAGAGAAGCCAGCAAGCAGAUGCCUUAAUUGUCAAGUCCAUCCUAUCUGUCACCAAGAUAUGUACUAUUUUGGCAGCCCAGGAAAUGAUAUUUCCAGGAGAAGCAGGAGCUGCUGCUAAAGCCAGCAGAUACAUUUUUUUUGGUGGUAGCCUCAUGGGCCAGUAACUUUGAAUGUCACAGGUAGAGAUAACCAAAGUUUAAUAUCACAGGUAGUAGUAUUAAGUGUUUGACAUCAAAGGUGCAGCAGUAUGAAAAAAUGUAUACCUCUUAUAGUGAUACUAGUGCCUUUGCUUCUUACUUCAUCCUAAAGAGAUAGAGGAACACCAAGGUAAUCCCUAACUGCCUUUAUAACCGUGCUAAAAAAUGUAAGAACAACUUGUGGGGUUGUGAAAACGCUAUUAUAACAUGUUAAAUUCUAUUGGUCCUUUUUUUAACUUGAAAACUUGUAUUUUUUUUUUCAGUGAUGUCCAUUAU
rnacentral:lncRNA from 10 species